AGAAUGCUUUGCCUAGCAGUUCUAAAAUACAUCUGCCGGUGUGCCCUACUUCAGUAAGCCCAAACUGCAGACAUCUAAUUGAGGAGAUUUCCUGUUUGGUAGUCAAGCAAAGAUGAAAACGAAAGUGCCACAUUGUUGGUUGUGACCAAGAAAGCCCUAUGGAGAUCUCCUGGCACAAGAGGGUCCCAGAGAACACAGUCUGGGAAAUGAUGUCUUCCAGGAGGCAUGGAAGGGCUGAAGCUGGCUGGAACUCUGAGGCCUGCCCUUGGCAGCAUGGUGUAUGGAUAAGCCCUCUGUUAUCUCAUUCGAUUCUACUCCUGAAGACACGUUGGUUGUACAACUGGAGAACAGCUUCCAAAUUAAAAACAAAAAAUAUUCAAAGCAAUGCCCUCGAGACUGAUAGCUUUGAAAGGUAUGCUAUGCUUACCCCUGCGGUCCAUGCGCUGCUGGCAUCCCAGUGCCUUCCCUUCUUUUGGAAGCACAGACCUGGUGCUUACCUGUCUUUUCUCAAGGGAUAAAACUGGUGGCCAACAACAGUCUAGGACCCUGCCAUUUUGCCUCCAGCCUGGUUCCUGAUUUCUGAGCACCAUCUUGGUAAAUGGUUCCCCUGCUUUCCCAACUAAUAUCAACACAGACCUUCAACUGGCUGCCCGUGGGUCAGAGGUUGAAAUGUCCCCCACCUCCGAGCUGGCCCUCAAAGGGCACUUGUACAUGUGGGUAUGUGUAAGCCUAGAUUUUUCAUUAGACUCGUGAUCUAUCUUAAUCCAUUUCCUGCGAUCGUCAUUCCAUACCUGCUUUGUUUUGUGGGAGUCC